AAUGUCUGCCUGAAGAUUGAUGUCCUGCUCCAUCUGUCAGCAGGGUGACUUGAAUUUAACCAUGGAGAGACGGCCCUUUGUUCUGGGGAGACACCACCAUGGACCUGUUCAUUUUCUACAGCUACUCUUCCAAAGGGACUCCGGUGCCAUUAUUAACCUGAAUGCUGACGAGUCAAGUGUUUGUUUUGAUCGUGAAAGCUGGAUGUAUCUCUUAUCUGUGACACAAAAAUACAAGGCAAAUGAAUAGGAGAAACUGAGACCCAGAAAGGAGGGCCCUUGGCUGAGGCCAGAGACCAAGGCCCACAUCUCUGGUACACCCUGCAUAUCACCCAGAGCAGGUCUGUGCACAAAGGAGGUGCUCACUCCAUCCCUGCCAACAAGCUGACGUUAACUUCCUGCAGGGGCAUACUUCCCAGAUCUGGACAUCAAAGACACAGAUAAGAGCAAGAAGGAUGUGAAGAUGACAGCAAGAAAGAAGGCAGGAUCAGGACAAAGAAAGGAAGCAAGCAAAAUGCAAGA